GACGAACGCUGGCGGCGUGCUUAACACAUGCAAGUCGAACGGAAAGGCCCUGCUUUUGUGGGGUGCUCGAGUGGCGAACGGGUGAGUAACACGUGAGUAACCUGCCCUUGACUUUGGGAUAACUUCAGGAAACUGGGGCUAAUACCGGAUAGGAGCUCCUGCUGCAUGGUGGGGGUUGGAAAGUUUCGGCGGUUGGGGAUGGACUCGCGGCUUAUCAGCUUGUUGGUGGGGUAGUGGCUUACCAAGGCUUUGACGGGUAGCCGGCCUGAGAGGGUGACCGGCCACAGUGGGACUGAGAUACGGCACAGACUCCUACGGGAGGCAGCAGGGGGGAAUAUUGCACAAGGGGCGGAGGCCUGAUGCAGCAACGCCGCGUGCGGGAUGACGGCCUGCGGGUUGUAAACCGCUUUCGCCUGUGACGAAGCGUGAGUGACGGUAAUGGGUAAAGAAGCACCGGCUAACUACGUG
rnacentral:rRNA from 1 species